AAACAACUGAGUUGGAAUCCAUCAAAAUUUUGAGUUGUUUUCAUCUAUUGACUUUCAAAGCCUGGAACUUAGCGAAGACGCAUACGUUUUCGAACAAAAUAGAUGAAAACAACUCAGAGAGUUCCAAAAACCAGUGUUGAUUGUUUGGAUGCGAUGGUCGGAGACCAGUUACGGAAUAAUCACAGUAAUCAAGCAAUCUCUACGGAAGCCAUCAUUCACAACUAUAAAUCAGCUCAAAUUAGACAGAGUGUGCUGGUGGGUGAGCGUGCCAGGUGGGAUAGCACGUAGUUCCUCCCGCUGAGUGCAGUCAAAUGGCCCGGCGGCUCUAAUUUUUUUUUGUGGUGAAAAUAAAACCAAUCGGAUAAAAAUGCACGCAUCCAUCUUCUGAAUACAAUCGUCUUUUUCUUUUUGAAAUCAGAAAUUCCAUUCAAAACCGCUUUGAAAUUUCAUAAAUUUUUGAUUUUUUUUCAUUCAGUCGAUCCAUGAACAAGCCUAAACCUCCCUGAACAAAAACAACUCAGAAUUCGUGAAAACCCCUACAAUUCAGUUUUGAGUUUUGCCGCUCUAAUCAAAAUUUGAGUUUUCCUAGUUUUGGCGCAUUUUGAAUUGUUUUCCUUCAAAUCUGAGUC